rnacentral:RNase_P_RNA from 1 species
AGAGGCCGGGGGACGGCCGUCGGCCCGCGUAAGCGGGCGGGAGGAAAGUCCGGACGCCGCAGAGCAGGGCGCUCUUUAACGGAGAGCGGGGGCGACCCCAGGGAAAGCGCAACAGAAAAGAUACCGCCCCGCCUUCUUAAUUGAAGGCGAGGUAAGGGUGAAAUGGCGAGGUAAGAGCUCACCGCGGCGGUGGCGACAUCGCUGGCAUUGCAAGCCCCAGCCCGGCGCAAGGCCAAAUAGGGAGACGCGCCCCAACCGCAAGGUUGUGGAAUAAGGUUGCUCGCCUUAAAGUCUCCGGGUAGGCCGCUUGACCGCUUCGGCAACGGAGCGGCUAGAGGAAUGGUCGUCGUUCAUCCUUAACGGAUGAGCACAGGAUCCGGCUUACAACCGGCCUCUUCAU